rnacentral:rRNA from 1 species
UACGGGGGGGGGCAAGCGUUUGUUCGGAAUUACUGGGCGUAAAGCGUGCGCAGGCGGUUUUGUAAGUCUGUCGUGAAAGCCCCGGGCUCAACCUGGGAAUUGCGAUGGAGACUGCAAGGCUUGAAUCUGGCAGAGGGGGGGUAGAAUUCCACGUGUAGCAGUGAAAUGCGUAGAGAUGUGGAGGAACACCGAUGGCGAAGGCAGCCCCCUGGGUCAAGAUUGACGCUCAUGCACGAAAGCGUGGGGAGCAAAC